rnacentral:rRNA from 1 species
GACGAACGCUGGCGGCGUGCCUAAUACAUGCAAGUCGAACGGUCUUUUCUAUGGAAGCUUGCUUCCACUGAAAAGAUAGUGGCGGACGGGUGAGUAACACGUGGGUAACCUGCCCAUAAGAGGGGGAUAACAUCCGGAAACGGGUGCUAAUACCGCAUAGUUUUCUUGAUCGCAUGAUUGAGAAAGGAAAGACGGCCUUUGUGCUGUCGCUUAUGGAUGGACCCGCGGCGUAUUAGUUAGUUGGUGAGGUAAUGGCUCACCAAGACGAUGAUACGUAGCCGACCUGAGAGGGUGAUCGGCCACAUUGGGACUGAGACACGGCCCAAACUCCUACGGGAGGCAGCAGUAGGGAAUCUUCCGCAAUGGACGAAAGUCUGACGGAGCAACGCCGCGUGAGUGAAGAAGGUUUUCGGAUCGUAAAACUCUGU